AAGGAUUUAAGUUAAACAAACUAGUAACCUUCAAAGUUACCAAUAAAGGGUAAAUUUAAGCCUUA
rnacentral:tRNA from 1 species